rnacentral:tRNA from 3 species
GCCAGUGUAGCUCAGUUGGUCAGAGCAGCUGAUUUGUAAUCAGCAGGUCGUGGGUUCGAAUCCCUCCACCGGCUCCA